GACGUAGGGCGCGAACGUUGUCCGGAUUUAUUGGGCGUAAAGAGCUCGUAGGCGGCUUGUCGCGUCGAAUGUGAAAACCUGCAGCUCAACUGCAGGCUUGCAUUCGAUACGGGCAGGCUCGAGUUCGGUAGGGGAGACUGGAAUUCCUGGUGUAGCGGUGAAAUGCGCAGAUAUCGCUUGGAACGCCAAAGGUGAAAACAGGUUGCUGGGGUUGUGGCCGACGCUGAGACACGAAAGCCGGGAGCAAACAGGG
rnacentral:rRNA from 1 species